rnacentral:rRNA from 1 species
CCACCGAAAGCCUAAGGGUUCCUGGGCAACGAUCGUCGACCCAGGGUAAGUCGGGACCUAAUCCGAGGCGAAGACGCAUAGGAGAUGGACAACAGGUUGAAAUUCCUGUACCGACGUCGUCUGUUUGAGCGAUGGAGUGACACAAGAAGGAAAGUUCGCAUGCGAUUGGAAGAGCAUGUCUAAGCAGGUAGGUUGAAUACCAGGCAAAUCCGGUAUUCUAAAAGCCGAGAAGUGAUAGGGAGCCUGUAGAGAUACAGGUGAAGGAACCGGGACUCGAUUGUCAAGAAAAGCUUCUAGUGAGGACGACGCCGCCCGUACCAAAACCGACACAGGUAGGCAAGAAGAGAAUUCUAAGGUGCGCGGGAAAACCCUCGUUAAGGAACUCGGCAAAAUGUAUCCGUAACUUCGGGAAAAGGAUAACCCAGAGUACGUGAAGGAAAGAAACAUCCGGAGCGGGAAUGGGUGGCACAAGAGAGGCCCAAGCGACUGUUUACCACAAACACAGGCGUCUGCUAAAGAGAAAUCUGAUGUAUAGAUGCUGACACCUGCCCGGUGCUGGAAGGUUAAGAGGACGUGUUAGCCGCAAGGCGAAGCAGAGAAUUGAAGCCCCAGUAAACGGCGGCCGUAACUAUAACGGUCCUAAGGUAGCGAAAUUCCUUGUCGGGUAAGUUCCGACCCGCACGAAAGGCGUAACGAUUUGGGCACUGUCUCAACGAGGGACCCGGUGAAAUUGAAAUACCUGUGAAGAUGCAGGUUACCCGCGACUGGACAGAAAGACCCCAUGGAGCUUUACUGUAACCUGAGAUUGAAUUUUGGUAGAAGAUGUACAGGAUAGUUGGGAGACGUAGAAGCGCGCACGCCAGUGUACGCAGAGUCGAUGGUGGGAUACCAACCUUGUUUUAUUGAAAUUCUAACGAGAGCCGUAACGAGGCUGCGGACAGUCUCAGGCGGGCAGUUUGACUGGGGCGGUCGCCUCCGAAAGAGCAACGGAGGCGCCCAAAGGUUCCCUCAGCGCGGACGGAAACCGCGCGAAGAGUGUAAAGGCAGAAGGGAGCUUGACUGCGAGACGGACAGGUCGAGCAGGGACGAAAGUCGGGCUUAGUGAUCCGGUGGUAGAGAGUGGAAUUGCCAUCGCUCAACGGAUAAAAGCUACCCUGGGGAUAACAGGCUAAUCUCUCCCAAGAGUCCAUAUCGACGGGGAGGUUUGGCACCUCGAUGUCGGCUCAUCACAUCCUGGGGCUGUAGUAGGUCCCAAGGGUUGGGCUGUUCGCCCAUUAAAGUGGUACGCGAGCUGGGUUCAGAACGUCGUGAGACAGUUCGGUCCCUAUCCAUCGCGGGCGCAAGAAACUUGAAAGGGGCUGCUCCUAGUACGAGAGGACCGGAGUGGACGAACCAAUGGUGUAUCGGUUAUGCCGCCAGGCGUACAGCCGAGUAGCUACGUUCGGGACGGAUAAACGCUGAAAGCAUCUAAGCGUGAAACCAGCCUAAAGAUGAGGUUUCUCAUUGCGUAAGCAAGUAAGGCCCCAUGAAGACGACAUGGUUGAUAGGCCGGGAGUGGAAGUGCAGCAAUGCAUGGAGCGGACCGGUACUAAUAGGCCGAGGACUUAUCUUA